rnacentral:sRNA from 1 species
CAGGCCAAUCUAGACUCUGCCUCCUGCCUCCUCUCCUGCAACCAGAGGUUCAUCAAGAGAAGCCACUACUAAAUCGUGUUCCUGCAGCAUUUCUGGGUAGCGGGACACUGCUCGCUCAAUCCUCGACGAACGCCGUACAGGAGUGAUAAGUUUCAUGUCUUGCACUUCCGGCAUCCCAUUUAU